CGAACUAGACAUAGCCUAAAGAAAUUAAAUUAUGUUUAGCACUAACAAAAAGAAAAUAUGUUACACAGUUGGUGGAGUUGUAUUGUUAAAUUUUACUUUUUAAAGGCAGGUUGGCAUUCAACUGAAAGGGCAAAGCAAAAGAAAUGGCCGACGGAGCCUCGAUUGUUUCAUGGGCCCGCUAAAACAGAGGCUCGUCAAUGUGCGGCAGUCCGUCCCGUCCAGGCCAAUGGGCCUGAUCUCAUUCCAGUAAAAGUAAGACGACGGCGUUUCAGCUAAUUUAGCUCAGUUUGCUAGUCCCAUAAAACGCUGCGUUUUCUGAGUGUUCCCGCCUUGGUCAAUCAUAGACCCCAUCUUUUUCAAGUGUUUAACUGCUUGUGGAAAGAACAUGCAGAAAGAAUAUCCAAAAAUAACUGCUUGAGGAAAGAACAUGCAGAAAGAAUAUCCAAAAAAGUAUUCGAAUCCGAGAGGGGAGAGAGAGAGAGAGCAACCUCUCGAGUCUCGUCAGAAGGUUUUAGUUACAUAUUUUUCAGAUUUGGGUAUUGUUUGACUUUUCCGGUCUGGCUGACUCGCCAUUUGAUUUUACCAAGCUAGGUUGUAUCAUGGUUACCACUUGCCAGAAGGUUGUUAGAUGAAAUGCCUGAAAUCGAGGAGUCUUCAAAGAGGCCAAACGGGGAAACAGGGAAGAACAAGGAAUCAGCUCUCCUCCAUAUGGUUUGGGCGGUAAAAGAUUCGAGAGGAAUAGAGAAUUAUUGUGGACAGGUGGCAGUUUUCUAACUUACUUCAUGUGUUCGGAAGACAACGGUGAAAGCAUUAACCUCCAUCCAUCGCAAAAGCAACUCUUCACUUCUUCGAUACUUAAUAACAGUGUAGAUGCAUGCAUUACCUGCAGCCAAAAUGCUGAAACAGGGGUAUUGUGAGCCUGUAGUUUCUCCCAAACUUGGCGUACACUAUCUGUGCCACCCUGCAUUCCAACAACAGCACCGGAUAUAAUCCACUCAGGAAGCUCAGGAAGUCUCCCAAUUGUUUCUGUGAAGCGUUCAAUGAGCUCUGAAGGUGAGUUUCCAUGCAAUAUCCUACCUUGAACUGAAUCUCCAUGUAUCUGCAAGAUCACCCAGUGCACAGAAAGUGAGAGACUGCAAAUCCGGAAUCUAAAUGAGCCCCCAAUUGUACUACAAUCAAUGCGGUGGGUUUCCUGAAACAUAAUCAAAGAGAACAAGAUGCUGCCCCCCCUCCCUGUCGUUCCCCACUUUGCUCCUCGAUAUUUUUUCGCAGAUUGUGAACUAUUUUUGGUUAAUAAUUCCAGAUUCAAAUUGUCACUAUGACUAUAAGAUGUCAUAAUUAUCAGAAGUUACCUGUAUCUGAACUCUA